rnacentral:rRNA from 1 species
CCUACGGGGGGCAGCAGUGGGGAAUAUUGCGCAAUGGGGGAAACCCUGACGCAGCAACGCCGCGUGAAGGAUGAAGGUUUUCGGAUUGUAAACUUCUUUGAUGAGGGACGAUAAUGACGGUACCUCAAAAACAAGCCACGGCUAACUACGUGCCAGCAGCCGCGGUAAUACGUAGGUGGCAAGCGUUGUCCGGAUUUACUGGGUGUAAAGGGCGUGUAGGCGGGGAUGCAAGUCAGAUGUGAAAUUCCGGGGCUCAACCCCGGCGCUGCAUCUGAAACUGUAUCUCUUGAGU